CUGUCGUCUGUCACAUCUGUUUUAUUGACAAAGCAGGAUUUUGUCUUCAGGUGCUUUUGCAGUGCCGCCUUAUGCCUGAACUGUUUUGUACCGAGAGGACAAAAUGGGCCUAUAAGGUAUUUUAAGGUGGUGCACCAUAUGAGAGAGCGACAGAGUCUCUUACACUCCCACAACGAUGGAAUCGGCGAUCCUCUGACAUCAUUCUGGAGGCUUUCGUUCAAGAGGCUAGUACGGAGGGGGCGAUAGCCGUUGGCGUAUACGGACUGAUCUCCAUCACCAGACCUGGUGUUAUUGGAAUCGUACUUUGUACUCCGCAGCGGCUUUCAACGGAAUCCUACCUAAGGCAAGAAGAUUCAAGAACAUCCGAGCUAUCGGAUUUGAUGAGCCCAUCGACCACCUGCGCAUACUCCGCUGUUAUCCGAACUGAAACCAGGCCCUACAGUUGAACUUACUUGAGUUCUUGCCGGUACGGCCUUCCCUAUUUUGUUCUCUUGAGUUCGUGCAACGACCUUCUUGGCAUGCGCCGAACCGACAUGCACCUUCUGCUGCCUUCUAGUAGUUUUGCUAGGUACUUUUGAUGGCGGCAGAACUUUGUUGGACGAAGCACUGGACAGAUGUUUUCUCUGUUGCGAUUGUUGACGCUCGCAUGCUCUUUCGGGUGAUCGUUCAUUCGCUUCAUCAUGAGCAAUAGAUGGUGGCGUGAGCCGCCUAUUCCGUAAACUCGGUUGGCAUAGAAAUCGCAGGGUGGGCUGCGAGUGGUUCAGACCAACGGGCGAUUUUCGUCGCUCAGGAUAAUUCGUCAGUUUUUCGACAUGCUUGAAUCCUGACGCCCGGAACUGAGAAUGCUGAGGUUGCCCAGGAGGUGGAGACGUAUCGACGUGGGCCCUUCUGGGCUUGGAAUUAUCACGCAUUCUCUGGUUCUCUUGGAAUGAUGGCCGCUGACGGUCCGAAGGCAGCGCAAGAGGACUACAGAUUCCGGUGGUCAUCUGUGAAUCGUAUAUUCGGUGUCGUGGCGAAGGCCAGCCCAGUUGCGAGAAUUGUGUGUAUCCACCGAAGUUGUAGUCCAGUUCGCUGCGUGGCGGCAUAUCGUCCGCACAACGCGAAGACAUUCGAGACGGUAGAAGUUGCGAGGAACAGCACGACUGCUGCAUGACAUUCGCGGUAGCAUUGUCAGUGUGAGGCUGAGUAGGUGUGCUUGAAUUCAUAUAGUUUGUGCAUUUAUGCAUGCCGUCUCACCUGUUGGAACAGUUCUUCGAACUCGUCAUCCAGCGGAGCACUUUGGUCAUAAUGAAAGUCUGGCUGAUUUUGCAAGUACCAUAACUUCCGACUGAGUUCGUGCAAAUUUCGUGGAUGAGCCAUGUUUGG
rnacentral:lncRNA from 1 species